rnacentral:rRNA from 1 species
GACGAACGCUGGCGGCGUGCUUAACACAUGCAAGUCGAACGGAAAGGCCUCUUUCGGGGGGUACUCGAGUGGCGAACGGGUGAGUAACACGUGAGUAACCUGCCCUUGACUUUGGGAUAACUUCAGGAAACUGGGGCUAAUACCGGAUAGGAGCUCCUGCUGCAUGGUGGGGGUUGGAAAGUUUCGGCGGUUGGGGAUGGACUCGCGGCUUAUCAGCUUGUUGGUGGGGUAGUGGCUUACCAAGGCUUUGACGGGUAGCCGGCCUGAGAGGGUGACCGGCCACAUUGGGACUGAGAUACGGCCCAGACUCCUACGGGAGGCAGCAGUGGGGAAUAUUGCACAAUGGGUGGAAGCCUGAUGCAGCAACGCCGUGUGCGGGAUGACGGCCUUCGGGUUGUAAACCGCUUUCGCACAUGACGAAGCUUUGUGUGACGGUAGUGGGUAAAGAAGCACCGGCUAACUACGUG